CCUACGGGCGGCAGCAGUGGGGAAUAUUGCACAAUGGGGGAAACCCUGAUGCAGCCACGCCGCGUGAGUGAAGAAGUAUCUCGGUAUGUAAAGCUCUAUCAGCAGGGAAGUAAAUGACGGUACCUGACUCAGAAUCACUGGCUAACUACGUGCCAGCAGCCGUGGUACUACGUAGGGGGCCAGAGUUAUCCGGAUUUACUGGGUGUAAAGGGAGCGUAGACGGUGUGGAAAGUCUGAAGUGAAAGCCCGGGGCUCAACCUCGAGACUGCAUUGGAGACUGGCAUGCUGGAGUGCUGGAGAGGUAAGCGGAAUUCCUGGUGUAGCGGUGAAAUGCGUAGAUAUUAGGAGGAACUCCAAUGGCGAAGGCGGCUUACUGGACAGUAACUGACGUUGAGGCUCGAAAGCGUGGGGAGCAAACAGGAUUAGAUACCCCUGUAGUC
rnacentral:rRNA from 1 species